rnacentral:tRNA from 1 species
UCCGAGGUAGUUCAGUGGUAGAACGCAGCGCUGUUAACGCUGAUGUCACAGGUUCGAAUCCUGUCCUCGGAGCCA